rnacentral:misc_RNA from 1 species
GUAGGUGAACCUGCGGAAGGAUCAUUAUUGAAAUAAAUCUGGCGAGUUGCUGCUGGUUCUCUAGGGAACAUUGUGCACACUUGUCAUCUUUAUAUCUCCACCUGUGCACCUUUUGUAGACCUGGAUAUCUCUCUGAGUGCUGGUCACUCAGGUUUGAGGAUUGACUUUAUGUCUCUCUUCACAUUUCCAGGCCUAUGUUCUUUAUAUACCCCAAUGUAUGUUAUAGAAUGUAAUCAAUGGCCUUUGUGCCUAUAAACCUAUACAACUUUCAGCAACGGAUCUCUUGGCUCUC